AAUCAACGCUGGCGGCGUGCUUAACACAUGCAAGUCGAGCGGUAAGGCCCUUUCGGGGGUACACGAGCGGCGAACGGGUGAGUAACACGUGGGUGACCUGCCCUCAGCUCUGGGAUAAGCCCGGGAAACUGGGUCUAAUACUGGAUAUUACUCUGCGGUGCAUGCCGUGGGGUGGAAAGCCUUGUGCGGCUGGGGAUGGGCCCGCGGCCUAUCAGCUUGUUGGUGGGGUGAUGGCCUACCAAGGCGACGACGGGUAGCCGGCCUGAGAGGGCGACCGGCCACACUGGGACUGAGACACGGCCCAGACUCCUACGGGAGGCAGCAGUGGGGAAUCUUGCGCAAUGGGCGAAAGCCUGACGCAGCGACGCCGCGUGAGGGAUGACGGCCU
rnacentral:rRNA from 1 species